rnacentral:misc_RNA from 1 species
AAGUCGUAACAAGGUUUCCGUAGGUGAACCUGCGGAAGGAUCAUUAACACGUCUUUCUUUCAAAAUAUUGAACACGUGAACCCUAAACAAUUCUCUAUUACUAUUCUACAUUUGUAUGCAGAGCAGUGAUAGAGGCGGUGAUAAGAUUAACGAAGAAUAGUACCAACAUACUAUCCUGGUUAGUUUUAUCAUCGUUGCUGUUCCACUCCAAUUAUGAACGAAAAAGAGAAUUAUGCUAAGUAUAUUAACACUUUCAACAGUGGAUAUCUUGGCUCCCA